rnacentral:rRNA from 1 species
ACCCGCUGGACUUAAGCAUAUCACUAAGCGGAGGAAAAGAAACUAACUAGGAUGGCCUCAGUAACGGCGAGUGAAGCGGCCAAAGCCCAAGAUGGAAAUCUGCGUGCUGUGCACGUCGAAUUGUAAUCUAGAGAUGCCAUGCUCACCGGGGAGUGGCGCAGAAGUGCCCUGGAACGGGCCGCCAAAGAGGGUGACAGCCCCGUCUGUGGUGCCGCUGCCUAACGAGCAGGUAUUCAAAGAGUCGGGUUGUUUGGUAUUGCAGCCCUAAGUGGGAGAUAAACUUCUUCUAAGGCUAAAUAUAUGUGGGAAACCGAUAGCGAACAAGUACUGUGAAGGAAAGAUGAAAAGCACUUUGAAAAGAGAGUCAAAAGACCUGAAACCGUUGAGGAGGAAGCGGUAGAGAUGAAUUCUAAGGCGAGGCAUACAAUGGCCUAACCAACGUGUUGGGGAAGUCAUUUUGCGGCGUCUUGAGGCCGGAUGGGGUGACGUGAGCACAGAGGCCUUCUAGGAAUGGUUUGGCUUGCCAGGCAGCCUGGGAGUGCCGGUGGACACGUGGCCUGAGGGUGCUUAGUGCGAUCCGGUCAAAAUGGUCUUUACCGGCCCGUCUUGAAACACGGACCAAGGAGUCUAACGUACGUGCGAGUGUGCCGGUGGAGAAACCGACACGCGUAAUGAAAGUGAAAGAUGCCAAGCGCAAGCAGCAGCAUCGACCGACCAUGAUCCUCUGGUGAAAGGUUUGAGUAAGAGCACGUCCGCUAGGACCCGAAAGAUGGUGAACUAUGCCUGCGUAGGGUGAAGUCAGGGGAAACUCUGAUGGAGGCUCGAAGCGAUACUGACGUGCAAAUCGUUCGUCGAACGUGGGUAUAGGGGCGAAAGACUAAUCGAACCAUCUAGUAGCUGGUUCCCUCCGAAGUUUCCCUCAGGAUAGCUGGGACAAUUGCGCAGUUUUAUUAGGUAAAGCGAAUGAUUAGAGGAAUCGGGGGCUACUUGCCCUCGACCUAUUCUCAAACUUUAAAUUGGUAAGAACCCGGGCCUAUCUUAAGUGAGGCUCCGGGGCUCAAUGCGUGUCCUUAGUGGGCCAUUUUUGGUAAGCAGAACUGGCGAUGAGGGAUGCUCCUAACGUCGGGAUAAGGCGCCAAACUGCGCGCUCAUCAGAAACUACAAAGGGUGUUAGUCCAUCCAGACAGCAGGACGGUGGCCAUGGAAGUCGGAACCUGCUAAGGAGUGUGUAACAACUCACCUGCCGAAUGGACUAGCCCCGAAAAUGGAUGGCGCUAAAGCGCGCGGCCGAUACCCGACCAUCGCCACGAGAGUGAGGUGGCGAUGAGUAGGAGGGCGUGGGCGUUGUAGAGAAGCCUCUGGCGUGAGCCUGGGUAGAACAGCGUCUAGUGCAGAUCUUGGUGGUAGUAGCAAUUAUUCAAAUGAGAAUUUUGAAGGCCGAAGUGGAGAAGGUUUCCGUGAGAACAGCAAUUGGUCACGGGUGACUCGAUCCUAAGACAUGGGGGAAGUCCCUGUUAAGUGCGCGCUUGCGCGUAGUCGAAAGGGAAUGAGGUUAAUAUUCCUCAAGCUGGAUGUGGGUGUUGUAUGGCAACAUAAGUGAGCCUGGGAACGCCGGCGCGAGCCUCUGGAAGAGUUCUCUUUUCUUUUUAACAGACUAGCGGCCCUGAAAUGGGAUUACCUCGAGCUAGGGCGGCAUGUCUGGAAGAGCGCCUCGCUUUCCGAGGCGUCAGGUGCGUUCGCGACGGUCCGUGAAAACCCAGGUGAGAUAGUUUCACACCAGGUCGUACCCAUAACCGCAUCAGGUCUCCAAGGUU